AACAAGGCGUACCUGCGGACCUGCGGAAGGAUCAUUAACGAGCGUAACCUACCCUUUUAAAAAAUGGGUGGUACCUCCCGUCCUUUGCGGGCCCCCUUCUUUUAUUAAGGGGGGGGCUUUUAAGACUUUCUGCUUCGGCGGGGUUAUUCCCGCCGGAACACCUUCAAAAAACUCUUGAUCAAAAAACUGUUCAGUCCGAGAAUUUUUGAAAAUUAAAACAAAACUUUCAGCAAUGGAUCU
rnacentral:misc_RNA from 1 species